ACAGUGUACUAAAAUGAACUAAUAGUAUGUAGUUUAUACUCAUUAAAUAUGUAGUAUGGGUAUUCGAACACAGCUACUGUGCCGCCCCAGCCUCCCACCUACUGUGCUAGUGGGGGGCGACCCGUAGACCUUGUCCUUCGCCCCCGCCUUUCGGGCACGGGUUUUCUCUGGUGCAUAGCAGGCGGAAGCGACACUGUGCUAACUAGCAAGCUAACACACCGCAAACUAACAUUAGUCGCCCCAUGUUCCCGCCUGCUGUGCUAGCGGGAGGUGGGAGCGACAGAUAGACAUGCCUUCCUGACUGGCCAGAGUACAUAGAGAUCAAAGACCAGGAGUAGAUCCAGGGCCUGACGAGAGCCUGCCAGCUAGCAAGACAAAUACUGUUGCUGGCCGGACGCAGUCUUAAGGUUGGCAUGACGACAGAUGAGAGAUUUCAUCGUCCACCAGGAGACGAUUCGUCACAACGCAUACCCUUCCCCUCCUGAGAUAUAGGGGUUCCCCCAAAUCAGUCUGCACCUCGGUCAAUAACGUGGUCUGCCAUGGCAUACCUGACACCCGGCAACUACAAGAUGGAGACAUUAUCAACGUUGACGUGACCUGGUAUAACCCACUCCAAUGGUUUCCAUGCCAUGUCCCUACUUUAUUGGACAUGGCAUAGGCUCCUACUUCCAUGGCCACCCAGACAUCUUGCACCACGAGCCUAUAUUGAUGGAGGGAUCGUUAGAGUUGAGAAUCCUGAAGGACAAGUGGACAGCGGUGUCUGCUGACGACAAGAGGUUGUCCCAGUUUGAACACACGGUAGUCAUCACCUCUGGUGGAGUGGAUAUUCUCACCAAACUACCUGAGGAGGACGAGCCGAUGCCAAUUGAAGUUUAAUCACUGUUCUCUGCUCAACAACCCUGUCACAUCUACAUCUAUGAAGAGUGCACCGCUGUUGGUCGAGGAGAGCUGCUGGACCGAGGGGAGUCACAGGGGGUCUCCUGCUGUCCUGGUGGCAUCUGCCCGUUUCUCCACAGCUUCUUCAACUUAGCGCGGCGGUUCUGGAACCAGAUCUUCACCUGGGAGAGGAGUAGACAUGCAGAAGUAUAGGUAAUGUUUGAAAUUCCCAUCAUAUAUACAAGUGCACUGCUACCUCCAGUCAAGUACCUUACAUCUCCAGCAAGGAUAUUACACUUAUAUACAGUGCACUUACAGUUGAGGUCGGAAAUUUACAUACACUUAGGUUGGAGUCAUUAAAACUCGUUUUUCAACC